GAAGAGAGAAGAUGCGAAACAAAGAGGAGAGAAGGAAAUAGAGGUUUUCUUUUGGUGAAUUCACUCCCUCGUCUUUUGCACUUUGUUUGUUUGUUUUUUCUUUUCCUGUGUGCUUGCUAUUAUUUUCUG
rnacentral:ribozyme from 1 species